UGGGGAAUUUUGGACAAUGGGGGAAACCCCUGAUCCAGCAAUGCCGCGUGUGUGAAGAAGGCCUUCGGGUUGUAAAGCACUUUUGUCCGGGAAGAAAUCCCCUGCCCUAAUACGGCGGGGGGAUGACGGUACCGGAAGAAUAAGCACCGGCUAACUACGUGCCAGCAGCCGCGGUAAUACGUAGGGUGCGAGCGUUAAUCGGAAUUACUGGGCGUAAAGCGUGCGCAGGCGGUGAUGUAAGACCGAUGUGAAAUCCCCGGGCUCAACCUGGGAACUGCAUUGGUGACUGCAUUGCUCGAGUAUGGCAGAGGGGGGUGGAAUUCCACGUGUAGCAGUGAAAUGCGUAGAGAUGUGGAGGAACACCGAUGGCGAAGGCAGCCCCCUGGGCCAAUACUGACGCUCAUGCACGAAAGCGUGGGGAGCAAACAGGAUUAGAUACCCUGGUAGUCCACGCCCUAAACGAUGUCAACUGGUUGUCGGGCCUUCAUUGGCUUGGUAACGUAGCUAACGCGUGAAGUUGACCGCCUGGGGAGUACGGUCGCAAGAUU
rnacentral:rRNA from 1 species